rnacentral:lncRNA from 1 species
GGAAUCGAGUUUUUGACGUUUACAUGUAGUUGCGUAAUUUCAAAUUAUUUCUGGAAAUAGUUGGUGGUAUUUUAGUUACAGAAUCUAUAAAUUUUGGGGAAUAGGGGUUGGGGGUGUCCGAUUCCGAAACCCCGAAUAUAAAGAAACGAAAUUCCGUAGUCCCGAAUAAGUAAAGACAAAAGCCGGUGUUAAAGGUUCUGCCAUUCCUCAAUAAUAUCAAAUUGGAAUAUGGAAUAUUCUUUCAAUAUUUAAGGUUAAAGAAACAUGGAUAAAAGCUAAUCCAUGCAUGCAUUCAUGUUUCAUAUUAUUUAUAUUUUAUUUAUCUGUAAAGAGAAAGAUUGAAGUUCGUGAAAUGAAUACGUAGACAGGACUGCCCCCUUCCAAAGACCAGUACUUGAUUUGUCAGUCUACUUAUCCUAAUGAAGUUAUAUGCAAUACUCAGACUCUGUUCCCAAAAAAACUAGUUUACUUGAAUUAUUCCUUCUUUACCUUCAGUGUCGCUUUUCCCUUUUCUGCAAGAGCCUGUUUUUAACUAAAGAUCCAUGAUGAUUAUCGUUACUAGGUUAAUGUAAUCGAGAAACAUCACCCGUUGAGAUGCUGAGUUAUAUCCAGGAAGAAUAGUAAUUAGUUAAAAAGGAAUGAUGACAAGUUAUAGAAAUUAAGGUUGAGACAGAACAACAAAUGACUAUUAUAUUUAUAUAUAUGUAUAAAAAAAAAUAAUCAGUGUCGAGAUUUUAGUGAGGCAAUUGCCUCACUUGCCUCAAGGGUAGUUACGGCCUUGCAAUAGUGUCUGUGAUGAUAGUGACACUAAACUAUAACAAAUCGUCAUGAAAUGCAAAUGUUUUUAAGAGUUUUUAUUUCUGUCAAUUUACUUUUAUUAAUAGUUUUAUUAAUGUAUAUAACUUAUAAAUAUAAAGUUUGAAGAGAUAUUUAGAAAU